AAAGUACUCCCUCCUUCCCAAAAUUCUUGUCUUAGAUUUGUCUAGAUACGGAUGUAUCAAGUCACAUUUUAGUAUUAGAUACAUCCGUAUCUAGAAAAAUCUAAGACAAGAAAUUUGGGACAGAGGGAGUAGUUG
rnacentral:pre_miRNA from 1 species